GGGGUAUUAGCUCAGUCGGUAGAGCGCAACAAUGGCAUUGUUGAGGUCAGCGGUUCGACCCCGCUAUACUCCA
rnacentral:tRNA from 10 species